GCUGGUUUAGCUCAGUCGGUAGAGCAUGAGACUCAUCAUCUCAAGGUUGUAGGUUCGAGCCCUACAUUGGGUG